rnacentral:rRNA from 1 species
AGUGCAUGUGGUGGAUGCCUUGGCAGUCAGAGGCGAUGAAAGACGUGAUAGCCUGCGAAAAGCUCCGGGGAGGCGGCAAAUAUCCUUUGAUCCGGAGAUGUCUGAAUGGGGGAACCCACCUACUUUAAGGUAGGUAUUGCAACAUGAAUACAUAGUGUUGCAAGGCGAACGAGGGGAAGUGAAACAUCUCAGUACCCUUAGGAAAAGAAAUCAAUUGAGAUUCCCUCAGUAGCGGCGAGCGAACGGGGAUCAGCCCAUUAAGUUAUGUGUGUUUUAGUGGAACGCUCUGGGAAGUGCGAACGUAGAGGGUGAUAUUCCCGUACACGAAAGGGCACACAUAAUGAUGACGAGUAGGGCGAGGCACGUGAAACCUUGUCUGAAUAUGGGGGGACCAUCCUCCAAGGCUAAAUACUCCUGACUGACCGAUAGUGAACCAGUACCGUGAGGGAAAGGCGAAAAGAACCCCUGUGAGGGGAGUGAAAUAGAUCCUGAAACCGCAUGCAUACAAGCAGUGGGAGCACCUUCGUGGUGUGACUGCGUACCUUUUGUAUAAUGGGUCAGCGACUUAUAUUCAGUAGCGAGGUUAACCGUAUAGGGGAGCCGUAGAGAAAUCGAGUCUUAAUAGGGCGUUUAGUUGCUGGGUAUAGACCCGAAACCAGGCGAUCUAUCCAUGAGCAGGUUGAAGGUUGGGUAACACUAACUGGAGGACCGAACCCACUGUCGUUGAAAAGCCAGGGGAUGACUUGUGGAUAGGGGUGAAAGGCUAAUCAAGCCUGGUGAUAGCUGGUUCUCCCCGAAAGCUAUUUAGGUAGCGCCUCGGACGAAUACCAUAGGGGGUAGAGCACUGUUUCGGCUAGGGGGUCAUCCCGACUUACCAAACCGAUGCAAACUCCGAAUACCUAUGAGUACUAUCCGGGAGACAGACUGCGGGUGCUAACGUCCGUAGUCAAGAGGAAAACAAUCCAGACCGCCAGCUAAGGCCCCAAAAUCAUAGUUAAGUGGGAAACGAUGUGGGAAGGCAUAGACAGCUAGGAGGUUGGCUUAGAAGCAGCCACCCUUUAAAGAAAGCGUAAUAGCUCACUAGUCGAGUCGGCCUGCGCGGAAGAUGUAACGGGGCUAAAACUAUGUGCCGAAGCUGCGGAUGUAUACUUUGUAUACGUGGUAGGGGAGCGUUCUGUAAGCCGAUGAAGGUGUGUUGAGAAGCAUGCUGGAGGUAUCAGAAGUGCGAAUGCUGACGUGAGUAACGACAAAACGGGUGAAAAACCCGUUCGCCGAAAGACCAAGGGUUCCAGUCCAACGUUAAUCGGGGCUGGGUGAGUCGACCCCUAAGGCGAGGCCGAAAGGCGUAGUCGAUGGGAAAAUGGUUAAUAUUCCAUUACUUCUGUGUAAUGCGAUGAGAGGACGGAGAAGGCUAAAUCAGCCUGGCGUUGGUUGUCCAGGUGAAAGGAUGUAGGCAUGUAUCUUAGGCAAAUCCGGGGUACUCUAUGCUGAGAUCUGAUAGCAAGCUGUACUUGUACAGCGAAGUGGUUGAUGCCAUGCUUCCAGGAAAAGUCUCUAAGCUUCAGUUACACAGGAAUCGUACCCGAAACCGACACAGGUGGUCAGGUCGAGUAGACCAAGGCGCUUGAGAGAACUCUGCUGAAGGAACUAGGCAAAAUGGUACCGUAACUUCGGGAGAAGGUACGCUGUUGUUGGUGAUGGAACUCGCUUCCUGAGCUGACGACAGCCGCAGAAACCAGGCCGCUGCAACUGUUUAUUAAAAACAUAGCACUCUGCAAACACGAAAGUGGACGUAUAGGGUGUGAUGCCUGCCCGGUGCUGGAAGGUUAAUUGAUGGGGUUAGCGUAAGCGAAGCUCUUGAUCGAAGCCCCAGUAAACGGCGGCCGUAACUAUAACGGUCCUAAGGUAGCGAAAUUCCUUGUCGGGUAAGUUCCGACCUGCACGAAUGGCAUAAUGA